AUUGAACGCUGGCGGCAGGCCUAACCCAUGCAAGUCGAGCGAGCGGCGGACGGGUGAGUAAUGUAUGGGGACUGCCCGAUAGAGGGGGAUAACUACUGGAAACGGUAGCUAAUACCGCAUACUAUCGGAUAACCCAUAUGGGAUUAGCUAGUAGGGGAGGUAAUGGCUCACCUAGGCGCCGAUCCCUAGCUGGUAUGAGAGGAUGAUCAGCCACACUGGGACUGAGACACGGCCCAGACUCCUACGGAGGCAGCAGAGGGGAAUAUUGCACAAUGGGCGCAAGCCUGAUGCAGCCAUGCCGCGUGUAUGAAGAAGGCCCUAGGGUUGUAAAGUACUUUCAGUCGGGAGGCGUGACCGACAGAAGAAGCACCGGCUAACUCCGUGCCAACAGCCGCGGUAAUAC
rnacentral:rRNA from 1 species